rnacentral:rRNA from 1 species
UACGUAGGGUGCAAGCGUUAAUCGGAAUUACUGGGCGUAAAGCGUGCGCAGGCGGUGAUGUAAGACAGAUGUGAAAUCCCCGGGCUCAACCUGGGAACUGCAUUUGUGACUGCAAGGCUCGAGUGCGGCAGAGGAGACUGGAAUUCCUGGUGUAGCAGUGAAAUGCGUAGAUAUCAGGAGGAACACCGAUGGCGAAGGCAGGUCUCUGGGCUGACACUGACGCUCAUGCACGAAAGCGUGGGGAGCAAACAGG